rnacentral:rRNA from 1 species
AGAGUUUGAUUCUGGCUCAGGAUGAACGCUAGCUACAGGCUUAACACAUGCAAGUCGAGGGGCAGCAUGAGCUUAGCUGCUAAGCUUGAUGGCGACCGGCGCACGGGUGAGUAACGCGUAUCCAACUCCCCUUAGUAGGGCAUAGCCCGGUGAAAAUCGGAUUAAUACCCUAUGUUCUUCACAGCGGGCAUCUAACGUGAAGCAAAGGUUCACCGCUAAGGGAUGGGGAUGCGUCUGAUUAGGUAGUCGGCGGGGUAACGGCCCACCGAGCCAUCGAUCAGUAGGGGUUCUGAGAGGAAGGUCCCCCACAUUGGAACUGAGACACGGUCCAAACUCCUACGGGAGGCAGCAGUGAGGAAUAUUGGUCAAUGGGCGCGAGCCUGAACCAGCCAAGUAGCGUGCCAGGAUGACGGCCCUAUGGGUUGUAAACUGCUUUUAUGCGGGGAUAAAGUGAGGGACGUGUCCCUUAUUGUACGGUACCGCAUGAAUAAGGACCGGCUAAUUCCGUGCCAGCAGCCGC